AGAAACCUGCCACCAAAGAUUAUCCAUGUGGUGUGGUCAUCUCGGCGGUGCCUCCUCAAGGAGGGUGCUUCUGUCCCCUGCAGUCGUCUGGCGUGUUGGGGCGAAGCUAGGGCGCGUUGUGUUGGGCGAGGACCGGUUGGAUCCAGGUACCAGAGGAGGAAGGGGAAAAGGAUGAAGAAGA